rnacentral:rRNA from 1 species
GACAGAGGGUGCAAACGUUGCUCGGAUUUACUGGGCGUAAAGCGUGCGCAGGCGGCUUUGCAAGACAGAUGUGAAAUCCCCGGGCUCAACCUGGGAACUGCAUUUGUGACUGCACAGCUGGAGUGCGGCAGAGGGGGAUGGAAUUCCGCGUGUAGCAGUGAAAUGCGUAGAUAUGCGGAGGAACACCGAUGGCGAAGGCAAUCCCCUGGGCCUGCACUGACGCUCAUGCACGAAAGCGUGGGGAGCAAACAGG